CAGUCAGUGAGGUAUAUCCUUACCUGUCCCUCCUCCGGGAGAACAGCACAUGAUGAAUGGAGAGCGUGUGAGAUAUGAUUGAGCACGGAGCUAUGGCCUCAUCCUGAA